rnacentral:rRNA from 1 species
UACGUAGGGGGCGAGCGUUGUCCGGAAUCAUUGGGCGUAAAGAGCGUGUAGGCGGCUUGGCAAGUCUCGCGUGAAAUCCUGCGGCUCAACCGCAGGCCUGCGUGGGAUACUGCCUCGCUAGAGUCCGGAAGAGGAGAGUGGAAUUCCUGGUGUAGCGGUGGAAUGCGCAGAUAUCAGGAAGAACACCCGUGGCGAAGGCGGCUCUCUGGGACGGUACUGACGCUGAGACGCGAAAGCGUGGGGAGCGAACAGGG